rnacentral:misc_RNA from 1 species
AACGCACAUUGCGCCCAUUAGUAUUCUAGUGGGCAUGCCUGUUCGAGCGUCAUUUCAACCCUUAAGCCUUCUGUUGCUUAGCGUUGGGGGCCUACUGUGUAGCGGUAGCCCUUUAAAAUCAGUGGCGGAGUCGGUUCACACUCUAGACGUAGUAAAUAUUAUCUCGCCUAUUAGUUGGACCGGUCCCCUGCCGUAAAACACCUAAUUUCUCAAGGUUGACCUCGGAUCAGGUAGGAAUACCCGCUGAACUUAA